GUAAAUUUAAAAUAUGGUCAGAAAACUUUCCCAAUCUACAUGAAAUAACUCAAAAUAAAGGAACAAUGAGUCUGGAAUAUUUGUAAAUUUAUGAAAUAAAGCAAAAGAAAUGGAUCCUGGCAAGAAAAGAGCACUUAUUGACUGGGUAAAUGCUAUUGAUGAAGAGGCUCAUUUAAAUUCCCUUCAUGAAUUAAAAGAUGGAAAACAAUUGACCAAUUUACUCAAGUUAUCGGAACAAUCACUUGUAAUAAACAUAUCUGACAGAACAUGGAUGGAAAAUGUACAGG